GUCAGCAGCCGCGGUAACACCGGCGGCCCGAGUGGUGAUCGUGAUUAUUGGGUCUAAAGGGUCCGUAGCCGGUUUGGUCAGUCCUCCGGGAAAUCUGAUAGCUCAACUAUUAGGCUUUCGGGGGAUACUGCCAGACUUGGAACCGGGAGAGGUAAGAGGUACUACAGGGGUAGGAGUGAAAUCUUGUAAUCCCUGUGGGACCACCUGUGGCGAAGGCGUCUUACCAGAACGGGUUCGACGGUGAGGGACGAAAGCUGGGGGCACGAACCGGAUUAGAUACCCGGGUAGUCCCAGCCGUAAACGAUGCUCGCUAGGUGUCAGGCAUGGCGCGACCGUGUCUGGUGCCGCAGGGAAGCCGUGAAGCGAGCCACCUGGGAAGUACGGCCGCAAGGCUGAAACUUAAAGGAAUUGGCGGGGGAGCACAACAACGGGUGGAGCCUGCGGUUUAAUUGGACUCAACGCCGGACAACUCACCGGGGGCGACAGCAAUAUGUAGGCCAAGCUGAAGACUUUGCCUGAAUCGCUGAGGGGUGGUGCAUGG
rnacentral:rRNA from 1 species